GAUGAACGCUGGCUACAGGCUUAACACAUGCAAGUCGAGGGGAAACGACGGGGAAGCUUGCUUCCUUGGGCGUCGACCGGCGCACGGGUGAGUAACGCGUAUCCAACCUGCCUCUGACUGAGGGAUAACCCGUCGAAAGUCGGCCUAAUACCUCAUGGCAUCGUCUGCGGGCAUCCAACGACGAUUAAAGAUUUCAUCGGUCAGGGAUGGGGAUGCGUCUGAUUAGCUUGUUGGCGGGGUAACGGCCCACCAAGGCUACGAUCAGUAGGGGUUCUGAGAGGAAGGUCCCCCACAUUGGAACUGAGACACGGUCCAAACUCCUACGGGAGGCAGCAGUGAGGAAUAUUGGUCAAUGGGCGAGAGCCUGAACCAGCCAAGUAGCGUGCAGGAUGACGGCCCUAUGGGUUGUAAACUGCUUUUAUGCGGGGAUAAAGUGAGGGACGUGUCCUUCAUUGCAGGUACCGCAUGAAUAAGGACCGGCUAAUUCCGUGCCAGCAGCCGCGGUAAUACGGAAGGUCCUGGCGUUAUCCGGAUUUAUUGGGUUUAAAGGGAGCGUAGGCCGUGGAUUAAGCGUGUUGUGAAAUGCAGGUGCUCAACGUCUGCACUGCAGCGCGAACUGGUCCACUUGAGUGUGCGCAACGCAGGCGGAAUUCGUCGCGUAGCGGUGAAAUGCUUAGAUAUGACGAAGAACUCCGAUUGCGAAGGCAGCCUGCGGGAGCACAACUGACGCUGAAGCUCGAAAGUGCGGGUAUCGAACAGG
rnacentral:rRNA from 1 species